AUUGAACGCUGGCGGCAGGCCUAACACAUGCAAGUCGAACGAGUGGCGGACGGGUGAGUAAUGUCUGGGAAACUGCCUGAUGGAGGGGGAUAACUACUGGAAACGGUAGCUAAUACCGCAUACCAGCGGAUGUGCCCAGAUGGGAUUAGCUAGUAGGUGGGGUAACGGCUCACCUGGGCCACGCUCCCUAGCUGGUCUGAGCGGAUGACCAGCCACACUGGAACUGAGACACGGUCCAGACUCCUACGGGAGGAAGCAGUGGGGCAUAGUGCGCAAUGGGAGCAAGCGUGAUGCAGCCAUGCCGCGUGUAUGAAGAAGGGCUUCGGGUUGUAAAGUACUUUCAGCGGGGAGGCGUUACCCGCAGAAGAAGCACCGGCUAACUCCGUGCCAGCAGCCGCGGUAAUAC
rnacentral:rRNA from 1 species